rnacentral:sRNA from 1 species
UUAUCCCCCUCUGGAGGGGGACAGACCCCUUUAUCCCCCUGUGGGGACAGAUUUCAAAUCUGUCCCCAGAAAAGGGGACAGGGGGAGGAC